rnacentral:sRNA from 1 species
CGUCCAUGAUCUGCGGGCAGAUGAAGUGGACGUGGCAGUCGAUGGCGCCCGCGGUGAGGAUCUUGCCGUUGCCCGCGAUGAUCUCGGUGGAGGCGCCGAUAACCAGAUCGGGAUGGACACCGUCCAUGGUGUCGGGGUUACCCGCCUUGCCCAGCGCGACGAUCCGGCCGUCGCGAAUACCGACGUCCGCCUUGAUGAUUCCCCAGUGAUCGAGGACGACCACACCGGUGAUGACGGUGUCGGGAGCGCCGUCGGCGCGCGUGGCGCGACUCUGUCCCAUCGACUCACGAAU